UACGUAGGGUGCGAGCGUUGUCCGGAAUUAUUGGGCGUAAAGGGCUCGUAGGCGGUUUGUCGCGUCUGCCGUGAAAGUCCGGGGCUCAACUCCGGAUCUGCGGUGGGUACGGGCAGACUAGAGUGAUGUAGGGGAGACUGGAAUUCCUGGUGUAGCGGUGAAAUGCGCAGAUAUCAGGAGGACACCGGUGGCGAAGGCGGAUCUCUGGGCCGUAACUGACGCUGAGGAGCGAAAGCAUGGGGAGCGAACAGG
rnacentral:rRNA from 1 species